UGGGGAAUAUUGGACAAUGGGCGAAAGCCUGAUCCAGCCAUGCCGCGUGUGUGAAGAAGGUCUUCGGAUUGUAAAGCACUUUAAGUUGGGAGGAAGGGCAGUUACCUAAUACGUGAUUGUUUUGACGUUACCGACAGAAUAAGCACCGGCUAACUCUGUGCCAGCAGCCGCGGUAAUACAGAGGGUGCAAGCGUUAAUCGGAAUUACUGGGCGUAAAGCGCGCGUAGGUGGUUUGUUAAGUUGGAUGUGAAAUCCCCGGGCUCAACCUGGGAACUGCAUUCAAAACUGACUGACUAGAGUAUGGUAGAGGGUGGUGGAAUUUCCUGUGUAGCGGUGAAAUGCGUAGAUAUAGGAAGGAACACCAGUGGCGAAGGCGACCACCUGGACUAAUACUGACACUGAGGUGCGAAAGCGUGGGGAACAAACA
rnacentral:rRNA from 1 species